AAGAGCGAAUGAAGGGAGACCUUCUCGUUCUGUUCUGUGAGAGACUGGGGGGGGAAAUUCCCCCGGUCUACUCGAU
rnacentral:ncRNA from 1 species